GAGUUUGAUCUUGGCUCAGAUUGAACGCUGGCGGCAUGCCUUACACAUGCAAGUCGAACGGCAGCAUGAUCUAGCUUGCUAGAUUGAUGGCGAGUGGCGAAACGGGUGAGUAAUACAUCGGAACGUGCCCUGUAGUGGGGGAUAACUAGUCGAAAGAUUAGCUAAUACCGCAUACGACCUGAGGGUGAAAGUGGGGGACCGCAAGGCCUCAUGCUAUAGGAGCGGCCGAUGUCUGAUUAGCUAGUUGGUGGGGUAAAGGCCCACCAAGGCGACGAUCAGUAGCUGGUCUGAGAGGACGAUCAGCCACACUGGGACUGAGACACGGCCCAGAUUCCUACGGGAGGCAGCAGUGGGGAAUUUUGGACAAUGGGCGAAAGCCUGAUCCAGCAAUGCCGCGUGUGUGAAGAAGGCCUCGGUGUAAG
rnacentral:rRNA from 1 species